rnacentral:rRNA from 1 species
AUACCCUAUUAUUUUAAGUGUUAAUUUUGCUUACCUGGGUACUGUUAGUUAAGAUCUUUAAACCCAAAGAAUUUGGCGGUAUCUCAUUCCAUUCAGAGGAACCUACCCCGUAAUUGAUAAUACACGAUUGACUUUACUUAAUUUAUUUGUUUGUAUAUCUCCGUUAUCAGAAAAUCUUAUUGGAGUUAUAAUUUUCUUGAUUUAUAAUUAUAAAAUAUUUCAGGUCAAGGUGCAGCUUAUAAUUAAGAGGAGGUGGGUUACAAUAAAUUUUUGUUUAUUAUGGAUUUAACAGUGAAAUACUGUUAAUGAAGGUGGAUUUGAUAGUAAUUUAAUUUAGUUAAUUUAAUUGAUAUUGGCUCUGAGGUGUGUACACAUCGCCCGUCGCUCUCA